CUUUGUCUACUUGUGUCUUAUUCUGAAUGUUUCAUGUAAAUAUUCUUUAUGACUAUCUACUUUUAACUUAAAUACUCUAGACCAGCAACACACAUUGUAAGAAAUUUUUAAUCAAAAUUAUAUUAAAUUAAAUGAGCAAGUCUAGCAUAGAAAUUAAAUUGAAGAGGUAAAUCUAUCAAUGACCUCAUUCUAAUUCUCAUAUGAUUUUGAUGAUGACAAAAAGAGAGAGAGUUAGCAAAGAAAUAGACAAUGCAUUGAAACUUAAGACUGUAAAAAUGAAAACUUAAGCUAAUGUAACAAUAUAUUUUUUUUUAUUUUAGCAUAAUCUAAGGGGGAGCACAAUGAGUGUGAUUGAAACUUAAAGUUGAACUUGCAAACAAUUCAAGCACAAUGUAAGGGGGAGCAUUAUUGAUAAUCUAAGAAAUUUGAAAACUUAAAGCAUUUGACUGCCUUGUAAUUACUUGUACAUAUUGUAUAUGUUGAUCAUAGUAAUUAUUCUUUAAUGAGUGCUCAAUAUUUUAUCAUCA
rnacentral:lncRNA from 1 species